UAGCGGCGCGCUUCGUGCGGCGUCCCGAUCGCGGCCCGCGCAAAGACCUGGUGACUAUGAAUAAAUUCGAGCAGAUCGCACGGUCUCCGUACCGGCGACGCAUCUUUCAAAUGUCUGCCUUAUCAACUGUCGAUGGUAGGUUCCAUGCAUACCAUGGUGGUAACGGGUAAACGGGGAAUCAGGGUUCGAUUCCGGAGAGGGAGCCUGAGAAACGGCUACCACAUCCAAGGAAGGCAGCAGGCGCGCAAAUUACCCACUCCCGGAACGGGGAGGUAGUGACGAAAAAUAACGAUACGGGACUCAUCCGAGGCCCCGUAAUCGGAAUGAGAACACUUUAAAACCUUUAAACGAGGAUCAAUUGGAGGGCAAGUCUGGUGCCAGCAGCCGCGGUAAUUCCAGCUCCAAUAGCGUAUAUUAAAGUUGUUGCGGUUAAAAAGCUAGUAGUCGGAUCUGUGUCUGGACGGUGCCGGACCACCCUGGCGGUCCGUCGUGUCGCGGCCGGCCGUGUCGCGGGACCACGUGUCCCGUCGGCGCGGUCGCCGUCGCGCUCGUCAGCCGUCUCGGGGUGUUAGUUACCGGCACGUCGGCCGGACGUAUUGUCGGCAGGCGGACACGUGUCUCGUGCUUCCGGCGCGCCGCGCGGCCACGCGUCGCGCGGCCGUCGGUGUUCGACGACGGCGGCCGCCUACUCCAAUCUUGCUGCGCGGUGCUCUUCACCGAGUGCCGUCGGCGGGCCGACACGUUUACUUUGAACAAAUUAGAG
rnacentral:ncRNA from 1 species